UGGGGAAUCUUCCGCAAUGGACGAAAGUCUGACGGAGCAACGCCGCGUGAGUGAAGAAGGCCUUCGGGUUGUAAAGCUCUGUUUUUAGGGAAGAAUGUGCGAUGUGUGAAUAAUGCAUUGCAAUGACGGUACCUAAAGAGGAAGUCACGGCUAACUACGUGCCAGCAGCCGCGGUAAUACGUAGGUGGCGAGCGUUGUCCGGAAUCAUUGGGCGUAAAGCGCAUGUAGGCGGGAAGAUAAGUCUGUUGUGAAAAUGCGGGGCUCAACCCCGUAUGGCAAUGGAAACUGUUUUUCUUGAGUGCAGGAGAGGAAAGGGGAAUUCCCAGUGUAGCGGUGAAAUGCGUAGAUAUUGGGAGGAACACCAGUGGCGAAGGCGCCUUUCUGGACUGUGUCUGACGCUGAGAUGCGAAAGCCAGGGGAGCAAACG
rnacentral:rRNA from 1 species